rnacentral:pre_miRNA from 1 species
UGUCUUUUUCCGCUUUGCUGCUGAUUGUUAUGAAAUCUCAACAGCAAAGUGAAAAGGUCUCC